UGAAUUUGGCUACCGGCGAAC
rnacentral:piRNA from 1 species